rnacentral:rRNA from 1 species
UACGGAGGGUGCAAGCGUUAUCCGGAUUUAUUGGGUUUAAAGGGUGCGCAGGCGGAUUAAUAAGUCAGUGGUGAAAUCCCCCGGCUCAACCGGGGAAUUGCCGUUGAUACUGUUAGUCUAGAGUUUAGUUGAAGUAGGCGGAAUGUAGCAUGUAGCGGUGAAAUGCAUAGAUAUGCUACAGAACACCAAUUGCGAAGGCAGCUUACUAACCUAAAACUGACGCUCAGGCACGAAAGCGUGGGGAUCAAACAGGAUUAGAUACCCUGGUAGUCCACGCUGUAAACGAUGAUCACUCGUUGUUGGCGAUAUACUGUCAGCGACUGAACGAAAGCAUUAAGUGAUCCACCUGGGAAGUACGAUCGCAAGGUUGAA